CGCUUGAGAGAACUCGGGUGAAGGAACUAGGCAAAAUGGUGCCGUAACUUCGGGAGAAGGCACGCUGGCAUUAGGUGAAGUGAUUUACUCAUGGAGCUGAAGCCAGUCGCAGAUACCAGCUGGCUGCAACUGUUUAUUAAAAACACAGCACUGUGCAAACACGAAAGUGGACGUAUACGGUGUGACGCCUGCCCGGUGCUGGAAGGUUAAUUGAUGGGGUUAUCCGUAAGGAGAAGCUCUUGAUCGAAGCCCCAGUAAACGGCGGCCGUAACUAUAACGGUCCUAAGGUAGCGAAAUUCCUUGUCGGGUAAGUUCCGACCUGCACGAAUGGCGUAAUGAUGGCCAGGCUGUCUCCACCCGAGACUCAGUGAAAUUGAACUCGCUGUGAAGAUGCAGUGUACCCGCGGCAAGACGGAAAGACCCCGUGAACCUUUACUAUAGCUUGACACUGAACAUUGAGCCUUGAUG
rnacentral:rRNA from 1 species